rnacentral:rRNA from 1 species
GAUGAACGCUGGCGGCGUGCCUAAUACAUGCAAGUCGAGCGAACGGACGAGAAGCUUGCUUCUCUGAUGUUAGCGGCGGACGGGUGAGUAACACGUGGAUAACCUACCUAUAAGACUGGGAUAACUUCGGGAAACCGGAGCUAAUACCGGAUGAUAUUUUGAACCGCAUGGUUCAAAAGUGAAAGACGGUCUUGCUGUCACUUAUAGAUGGAUCCGCGCUGCAUUAGCUAGUUGGUAAGGUAACGGCUUACCAAGGCGACGAUGCAUAGCCGACCUGAGAGGGUGAUCGGCCACACUGGAACUGAGACACGGUCCAGACUCCUACGGGAGGCAGCAGUAGGGAAUCUUCCGCAAUGGGCGAGAGCCUGACGGAGCAACGCCGCGUGAGUGAUGAAGGUCUUCGGAUCGUAAAACUCUGUUAUUAGGGAAGAACAUAUGUGUAAGUAACUGUGCACAUCUUGACGGUACCUAAUCAGAAAGCCACGGCUAACUACGUG